rnacentral:rRNA from 1 species
CCCUUAGAUGUCCUGGGCCGCACGCGCGUUACACUGAUGCAUUCAACGAGCUUAUAACCUUGGCCGAGAGGCCUGGGCAAUCUUGUUAACGUGCAUCGUGAUAGGGAUAGAUUAUUGAAAUUAUUAAUCUUGAACGAGGAAUUCCUAGUAAACGCAGAUCAUCAAUCUGCAUUGAUUACGUCCCUGCCCUUUGUACACACCGCCCGUCGCACCUACCGAUUGGAUGGUCCGGUGAAGCCUCGGGACUGUGGUUCUUGCCGCUUUGUUGUGGCGUGACCGCGAGAACUUGUCUAAACCUUAUCAUCUAGAGGAAGGUGAAGUCGUAACA